rnacentral:rRNA from 1 species
GUGCCAGCAGCCGCGGUAAUACAGAGGGUGCUAGCGUUAAUCGGAAUUACUGGGCGUAAAGGGUGUGUAGGUGGUUUGAUAAGUUAGAUGUGAAAUCCCCGGGCUUAACCUGGGAACUGCGUUUAAAACUGUUGAACUAGAGUGCUGUAGAGGGUAGUGGAAUUUCCAGUGUAGCGGUGAAAUGCGUAGAUAUUGGAAGGAACACCAGUGGCGAAGGCGACUACCUGGACAGACACUGACACUGAGACACGAAAGCGUGGGGAGCAAACAGGAUUAGAUACCCGCGUAGUCC